UACGUAGGGGGCAAGCGUUGUCCGGAUUCAUUGGGCGUAAAGAGCGUGUAGGCGGCCAGGUAGGUCGGUUGUGAAAACUGGAGGCUCAACCUUCAGAGGUCGACCGAAACCAUCCGGCUAGAGUCCGGGAGAGGAGAGUGGAAUUCCUGGUGUAGCAGUGAAAUGCGUAGAUAUCAGGAGGAAUACCGAUGGCGAAGGCAGGUCUCUGGGCUGACACUGACGCUCAUGCACGAAAGCGUGGGGAGCAAACAGG
rnacentral:rRNA from 1 species